rnacentral:tRNA from 1 species
GUGUGGCUCAACGGUAGAGCAGCUGACUUGUAAUCAGCAGGUUGUAGGUUCGAUUCCUA